GCGCAUUGUGACUGAACCCUUUUGGUCUCUUCUAUGGCUGAUAGGGUCAAGAUACAAUGCUAAAGCAUAAUCAGGCCUGCUCAUAACUGGGGCAUUCUGGUUGUAUUCCCAGGUCGCUCUUUUAAAAGCGAGCCACAAAU